CUCUCCCUCUCUUCUUUUCUCUUUUGCCAAUCAAAGCUUCUUCCAUAUGGAUCUGUAGAGUUCUGAUGAGUGUUCUUGAUAUUUGCUUGUCCCUGUUCAAAGAGAGAUGGGGAGAAUAAGAAAUUAAGGUUUCAGUGAUUGAUGGAUUUCAAAAAAUUAGGGUUUCAAUGAAGUAGUGAAAACGAAGGGGAAAAUUAGCUGAAGUCUUGAGUAUAGAUAAAUGAAAGCGAGAAAAGGAUGAUUUAGAUCUUCAUCUUUCUAGUUAGUCUGGAUCGUGUUUUAUGUAAACCCUAAUUUCAAGGAUGAGCUGUUGCUGCUGAGUGGUUGAAAUGGGUCGAUAUAAUACAGAACAAACAAAUUUCAGUAAUCUAAUAAAACCAACUAAAUUCCCCCAAUUUUUUUUAGGGUAUAAGGUUCGGCAGUAUGGGGAAGGGGAAGAUAUCACCUAAAUUUGCAGUCAUGAAGAGAUUAAUAAGCUCUAAAAUGAUCAAAAAUUUUUUGAAUUUAGGACAAAAGAGGAUAUUCUAAACCUUAGAAAGAAUGAUCUUCAGAAGGAAAAAUUACCCAAAAACGUGCCUCAAGUAUAAUCAGCUCUGUUCUUUAAACAUAGUAGUGCAUUGGGUCCUCCUGAUAGGGUUUUGGUUGAUACCAAUUUUGUCAAUUUCUCCUUUUUGAAAAAGUUGGAUUUGGAAAAGGCAAUGACAGAUUGCUUAUAUGCAAAAUGUGAGUCUUCUUCUUUUGCUCGAUAUACUUGAAUGGUACUCUGUGAUAUUUAUUGUGUCUGACUGGUUUGAUAUGCUUGUUUGUUUUACAUCGACUCAUUUGUGAUGGGAUGAAUUGGUGAUGGUUAUCGACAAAAAUUACAAGGAUGAGUUGUUGCUGCAGAGUGGUUGAAAUUGAUUUUGGUGAUGUUCUGCUGAUGGGUUUGCUUGUAGAGGCGUGUAUUCCUGCGAUUAGUCAAUAAUUACUUCAGACUUGGACACAGAACCAUGGUUCGCAAGAUUAGAAGAACAUGGAAGUUGUUGAAUCUGAAACUGGUGGUUACAUAGGGGGACCAUGGUCAAAGGCUUAUCUUGUGAGGAUGACGAAGAGUGAGCAAGUCGUAGAGUGUACAGAGGCCACUUUCAUUCUCAAACAUGUAGUGGCUGCACACCUGUGUUUGCUUCGGGUGUGAUUUGUGCCGGUUUUCAGACUGCAAUUGUCGGACUUGCACUGAUUUCACAACGAAUGCUAAACCUUAAAUCUUCAGAGUUAACUGUUUCCAGGACAAGGAUUUGUUAGUUUGGUUCUAUAUUACUUAUUGUAAUCUAUUUCCCUUUGUCUCAGCGAAAGCUACAGAAAUAGGAGGCGAGAGAUACGAGCAGCUUGAGUUCCCGAAGAAAGUUUCUCAACACUACAGAAAGAGUUGGUUAUGGAGUUGUGCUCAGACCUUGUUGACUGGAAAUUGGGCGACAACCUCCAACUCAGGAAUUGAUUGCUAAGGAUUUGCAUGGAACUUAGUGGCGAUUCCGUUAUAUAUUUCGGAUUACAGAAGAAGCUCUAUAUACAUAGUUGUGGCACGCUUGUGCUGGUCCUCUUGUGGCUCUACCACAUGAAGGCUAGAUUCUUUGUGCAGGAACUACAAGCGGCCUGGUUAUUAUCCUUAUGAAUAAGUCAGGGAUUACGGAGAACUUUAUGAAGAAUGCCUGGUAACUAUCUGCAAGUUUUGAGUAAGUUGUAUGUACUUUUUGAGCUGAACUUAUACUGACCUAAGUGAGAAGGAACUGAACUUAGGAAGUCUCUAUGUAUUCCCUCGGAAUUUGAUAACAAAAAAAAAAAAAUUGUACUUAGAAGAAUUGAUGUUCUUUUUUGAUAUGAAUUGAUUGAUUGAAUUUGAA